AACGAACGCUGGCGGCAUGCCUAACACAUGCAAGUCGAACGAAGUCUUCGGACUUAGUGGCGCACGGGUGCGUAACGCGUGGGAAUCUGCCCUUGGGUGCGGAAUAACUUCUCGAAAGGGAUGCUAAUACCGCAUAAUGUCGUAAGACCAAAGAUUUAUCGCCCAAGGAUGAGCCCGCGUAAGAUUAGCUAGUUGGUGGGGUAAAAGCCUACCAAGGCGACGAUCUUUAGCUGGUCUGAGAGGAUGAUCAGCCACACUGGGACUGAGACACGGCCCAGACUCCUACGGGAGGCAGCAGUGGGGAAUAUUGGACAAUGGGCGAAAGCCUGAUCCAGCAAUGCCGCGUGAGUGAUGAAGGCCCUAGGGUUGUAAAGCUCUUUUACCCGAGAUGAUAAUAGACAGUAUCGGGAGAAUAAGCUCCGGCUAACUCCGUGCCAGCA
rnacentral:rRNA from 1 species